rnacentral:lncRNA from 1 species
GAACUUUGUUAGAAAUGCCCUCAAUUGGCCUUUCCCGUUGUAGCUGCUGGAGACUGACUGUGUCUGAAAGGAGGGUCUCUUGAUGCUGACAGGGAAAAGCUGAUCAGCACCUCUGUGUCCUAGAAGGGGAACUUCCAGAAAGGGGGCAUAGAAGAAGGUAUUAUUAGUAUUUAUUGAAUGCUUUCAUGGGGCCAGGUACUGUGCUGGGGGCUAGCACCUUCCCUUGCUAGUAGGUAAAAACCCAGCUGUAAUUUUAAAGGAAUUGCUAUGCUGAGAUACACUUUUAUUGAAGACCUUGCAUAGUUCAAAUAACGUGAAAAGUAUUGAUGGUCAAAAAUAUUUUGUGUAGGAAUCAAUGCCACCAAAAUGUUAGUGAUAACCGUACAAACAAAUUGAAACAAAACUGAGACAGGAUUCAGAUAAUUCUGACAAAUAAAGAAAAAGCAGCCACAACACUGACCCCCCAACAUGUUCUUAAUUCCCUUUGGGGCUGUUUCUAGAAAAGGCAUAUUUCACCCUGAAUGCUAAAUUUAGUUCUCUACUCUGUUAGUUUAGACCUGCCUUCCAUCAAAAUAUUGUUGUCAAAGAUUUAUGUAACUUGUGAUUUGAGCCUUGUAUGAAAUUCUUUCAAGUUUUGAUUACUAAACAGUUAUGUGUCAUUAAUCUCUCCAUUGAAAAUUAAAAUGGCACAAGAAGCAAAAGA